rnacentral:tRNA from 1 species
GGCUCCAUGGCUCAGUGGCAGAGCGCCUGUCUAGUAAACAGGAGAUCGUGGGUUCGAUCUCCACUGGAGCCU